AUUGAACGCUGGCGGCAGGCCUAACACAUGCAAGUCGAACGCGUGGCGGACGGGUGAGUAAUGUCUGGGAAACUGCCUGAAGGAGGGGGAUAUCUCCUGGAAACGGUAGCUAUUAUCGCAUACACUCAGCUGUUCCCAGAUGGGAUUAGCUGGUUGUUGGGGUAACGGCUCACAAAGGAGACGAUCCCUAGCUGGUAUGAGAGGAUGACCAGCCACACUGGAACUGAUACACGGUCCAGACUCCUACGGGAGGCAGCAGUGGGGAAUAUUGCACAAGGGGCGCAAGCCUGAUGCAGCCAUGCCGCGUGUAUGAAGAAGGCCUUCGGGUUGUAAAGUACUUUCAGCGGGGAGGCGUUACCCGCAGAAGAAGCACCGGCUAACUCCGUGCCAGCAGCCGCGGUAAUAC
rnacentral:rRNA from 1 species